UAAGUCUGUCUUUUCGACUCGAAUCGACUCAUCAUCAUCUCUGCUUGGAAAAAAAAAAUGGCUUGUAAAACGAUAUUGCGAUCCGUAUUCGUAUCGGAAUCACGGCGGACUUCGGGCGCUAGUAGAUGCUUCUUUCUCCCUCCUUCACCAGUAUCAGUUCCAGUCCAUGGUUUGUUCCCGGCGCCAAAAAGUCUAUGUUUCAGUGGUUUCGCGUCUGCUCCCGAGCGGGCCACUCGGCUUAAUUGCAGCCAUAACGAUCAAUCUGAUCAAGGUCCGCCUCAAGAAGCUGUUCUCAAGGCGAUUUCAGAAGUGUCAAAGACUGAUGGGAGGGUUGGUAAAACUACUAAUAUGAUUAUUGGAGGCACUGUGGCUGAUGAUUCUGCUAAAGACUGGCUCGAACUUGACCAAAAGGUCAAUACAUACCCGACAGAAAGAGGGUUUACUGCUAUUGGUACUGGUGGCGAUGACUUUGUGCAUGCUAUGGUUGUUGCUGUUGAAUCUGUUAUUGAACGACAAAUUCCUGAGGAUUGUGUAAAGCAGACGUUAUCAAGCAAAGGCAAAUAUGUGUCGGUGAAUAUUGGCCCUAUCCGAGUUAUCUCUAGCGAACAGGUUCAAGCUGUGUAUAAUGCAAUGAGGAGAGACGAAAGAAUGAAAUACUUCUUGUAGGUUUGAAGUCUGUAGAAUCAGGGGUCUUCCCUCUGUUACUCUUCUCCAUUGCUACUAUGUAAAUUAUGCAGUGUGGGAGCUUAUCCUCGGUAUCUCUCUGAAAUAGAGUUGGAGUUGGUUCUAAGAUUAAUGCCCAGAGAUGUGUGGCUUCUUUUACAAGUGAG